UUCUGUUCAGUGUUAGUCUGAGAUGUUAGUUUUAGCUUUCACUGAAUGGCAGC
rnacentral:pre_miRNA from 1 species